AUUGUGGAUUUAUAGAUAAGUUACUUUAAUUUGAUAUUGUUUAUGGAUCAUAGGAACGAGUGCAUAGACUGUAAUUGUAGAGGGGUGUUAUUGAUUUUCUCUGUUUUAGUAGUUCUGGUACAUUUGAAUUAAUUACUGUUGUAUCCUGAGAGACAAACUUUUGUCUGAAAUACUGUUUUUAUUUUCUUUUGGAAAUUUGUGUUCUAAAAAAAUGUCAACUUUAAAAACUGCUGAGACAAUCACAUUUCAAUGAAUGCGUUUUCCUCACACUGAUUUGAAAUUCUGCUCUCAUUGGGGAAAUAAAAGGUGGCCUAUCUUGUUAAAUAUGGAACAUGACAUUAUCCAGAGGGCUGUUUGUUUAGUGUUUCCAAAUGCCUUAUGAGACUUUCAGCUCUAGAUGUUUUUAGGGUAGUGAAAUUAACACUGUCGUAUGGGAUAAAAUUCCAUUUCCAUUAUGUCAAAGCAGGCUAAACAGCUUAGUGAGACUUUCUGAUAAACAGCAAAAUAGUUUGGAUUCUCUGGAAUAGGAUUCUUACCCACUGUCUUUGCUGCCAGCUGCUAUUAAUAUCCACUUAAAACUGCAUGGGUAAAACAUCAGCUGGACUGCUGUGACUAAUCUGAGCUACUGCAAAAGCACCCACAGAAGAUCAAUGGGAAGAACUGGAAUACUGCAAAACCUGACAGCUGCUGACAAGAAUACAAAUAGAGAUUGUGUAUCUCCAGAGAAAACAGACUCAGAAACCUCUGCUAAAACAGAAUUGUGUAAACACAUCCUUAUUUGAUCAUGGCAGCAUUAUAAUGAGACACAAAGUCAGGAAAAUUAAUUUUACUGUUUCACAAAGACGUCAAAAUAUAAUAAGAUAUGGUAAUGCAGAUUUAAGAUGACCAAACAAUGUAAACUCUACUUGUAAUGACCUCAUAUAAUAGCCAUACCUUUGAACUGUACUACUUUAAUUUAAAAUUAUAGCUGUCCCCUGCACCAAGGCAUCACAAAAGCUUCAGAAUGAUACACUUGUUUUCAAAUACAGAAAAAUGUUUGUGAUUGGUUUAUUUAGGUUUCUUUGCUUACUUAACUUGACUUACUUAAGAGUUACUGAAGUGUUGAGAUGAGCUUUUCUUUACUAUAUCUAAGCAUUAAAUUUAAUCAGUAAUAACCACUGGAUUUACUUAUUUUUUCUCACAAAAAUUUGUGAAUAAGAUAAUUAUAUGGGUGAACUAAUUUGAAUGUACCUUAUUAUUGAAAUAAUUAACAAGAAAGAGCACAUUGUAAGGACUAUACUAUUUACAUGGAAGUAUUUGAGCCUUCUAACAUUUCUAACUAAUUUUAAAUGAAACAAUUGAGAAAACUGUAAUUUCUUAUGAACUGCAUGGAAGUCCAGAAGCAGAAAGGUGAGAUUUUGACAGGGAUACAUUAUAUUAUUUUGUGUAUAACAAAGAAGUGAAACCCUUUCUUCAUCUAUAAAUCAUAUCCUGACAUGUCCUAUUGUGCCUAGAGUAAUGCCUUAGCAAUAUAUUUGCAUAGUAUCUACUUAUGAAAAUCCAAAAGUUCUUAUCAAAUUACACUUGGAAGUUUCAACAUGUCUAUUGGCCAAUCAAAUAACAUUUACCCUUUGAUACUGAAGGUAGAGUUCCUCUGAUCUUAUAUAUCUAAUUAAAUUCUUUCGUCUAUAUAAACAUAAGAGAAGGGAGUUAGGAGGUGAUCAUUCAUGUUAUUCUUUAACAGGUAUUCGAAACAAGUGAGAUGAAUCUUGAGUUUCCAGGUGCUAGUAGACACCUUAGGUGGAUGAUGCAUAUGACAUAAAUAUGCUCUUUAUUAAACUUUCCAAAUUAUGAUGGAAGUAUUAUGAUUAACUAAGGCACUUGUGAUUUUGGCUAAACUUCCCUUUGCAUAUAAUAUCACAACAGAAAUUAGAAGGUGAAUAAAAAAAGACUAUCUGGUCA
rnacentral:lncRNA from 1 species